rnacentral:rRNA from 1 species
UACGUAGGGGGCAAGCGUUGUCCGGAAUCAUUGGGCGUAAAGAGCGCGUAGGCGGCCCUGUAAGUCCGCUGUGAAAGUCAAGGGCUCAACCCUUGAAUGCCGGUGGAUACUGCAGGGCUAGAGUCCGGAAGAGGCGAGUGGAAUUCCCGGUGUAGCGGUGAAAUGCGCAGAUAUCGGGAGGAACACCAAUGGCGAAGGCAGCUCGCUGGGACGGUACUGACGCUGAGACGCGAAAGCGUGGGGAGCAAACAGG